rnacentral:tRNA from 1 species
UCAAAUUGCAAAUUUGAAAGAGUUCCUUUUUGGUUCCGGGGCUUCUCCCGUUU